GAUGAACGCUGGCGGCGUGCCUAAUACAUGCAAGUCGAGCGAACAGAUGAGAAGCUUGCUUCUCUGAUGUUAGCGGCGGACGGGUGAGUAACACGUGGGUAACCUACCUAUAAGACUGGGAUAACUCCGGGAAACCGGGGCUAAUACCGGAUAAUAUUUUGAACCGCAUGGUUCAAUAGUGAAAGACGGUUUCGGCUGUCACUUAUAGAUGGACCCGCGCCGUACUAGCUAGUUGGUAAGGUAACGGCUUACCAAGGCGACGAUACGUAGCCGACCUGAGAGGGUGAUCGGCCACACUGGAACUGAGACCCGGUCCAGACUCCUACGGGAGGCAGCAGUAGGGAAUCUUCCGCAAUGGGCGAAAGCCUGACGGAGCAACGCCGCGUGAGUGAUGAAGGUCUUCGGAUCGUAAAACUCUGUUGUUAGGGAAGAACAAAUUUGUUAGUAACUGAACAAGUCUUGACGGUACCUAACCAGAAAGCCACGGCUAACUACGUGCCAGCCGCCGCGGUAA
rnacentral:rRNA from 1 species